UCCUUUGUGGUGUAGUCGGUAACACUUUAGUCUUUCACACUGACACCCCGGGUUCGAUUCCCGGCAAGGGAG
rfam:Dictyostelium fasciculatum unplaced genomic scaffold Scf_Dfasci-F-a-25c12.r2-5, whole genome shotgun sequence.